rnacentral:lncRNA from 1 species
CCCUUCUGGACUAGAAAGCACAAUGCUGACAUUGUUAUUUACUCACAGAAUGGGACAAUUCCUGAAAAGCAUGAGAAUGGAACCGUGAAUGGCAUCUCUAUAGAAGUCACGUCUGGCGGACUGGAGAUUAAUGGUAAAAGUGAAACUACAGUCUGCCAAAAUGGCAAGGCCCACUCUUUAAACUCUGCCAUACAAUCAACUGAUGUGAUCGGCAAAUCAGAGUGUCAACCUGAUAUUGUCCAAGAUGUUUCUGAAGCCCCUGACGCCAAAAUCCAAGCUGUUUCUGAAGCCCCUGACGCCAAAAUCCAAGCUGUUUCUGAAGUUCCUGACACCAACACCCAGAAGGAAGAGGUCAAGAAAAGCAAAGGAGAAAAAGGUCGUCAUCAUUUUGGCAAACUGUUCAAAAAGAAAUCAGAACCUAAAGCUGAAGCUGAGACUGUUGAAGAAAAAGAAAAAGAGACACAGAGGGAAGAUCAAACGGAUGUAAGUGUUCCUCCCACUGAGCCACAGCAGGAGACGGCUAACCUAAACCAAGAGCCUGAAUCAUUAAAGGAGCCAGAGAGGGUGACUCCAGUCUCCAGUCCCAAGGAAGAAAACGUUCCUGAAACUGACAACGGAGACAGUGAGGCCGUGGAAAGCAAAGAGGAGAGUAACCCCGAAGAGAAUCCAGUUAUGAACUUCUUCAAAACCCUAGUUGCACAAAUAUCUGAACCGCCUGCAGCACCGAAAGGAAUGUCCGUCCCACCACCCCCACCUCCAGAGCCACCGAAAAUGGAAAUCAAAGGAGAGCCAACUGCCAAACCUGUAAAGGCCUCGGCGAAAGAAGAACCUAAAGCUGCUGAAAAGGAGCCUGUGUCCUCGAAAGGAAAAUCAGCCAAAGAUACUCUGAGCAAAUUAUUCCGCCAGAAGAAGGUGGAUUCCUCAAAAGCUGACACCCGGGAGGCUGCUGCAAAACCAGAGCCACCACCACCUGCUCAGGAAGAGAAGAAAAGCGCCUCAAAAUCACCAUUCCUUUCUUUCUUCAAGCCCCAAGCUGCUGAGCCCAAGAAGGUGACCCCGACCCCACCUGCAGCAGCGGAGGCAGCUCAAGCAGUUAAAGCCAAGGAGGAACCUAAAGUGGCAGCCAAGUCUUCAGAGCAAGCUGCAGAUAACAAACCAGCCUCUGUGCCUUCCCAAGCUGGCGAUGAUGCAGCCAGUGUGCCCAAAAAACUGGAAAAGAGGAACUCCAUUCAGCUAUUCUUUAAAAAUCUGACUCAGAAACGUCCUUCUACAGACGCCGGAGUCCAGACAGAGCCACUGACCGCUGCUCAAGGAGCUGAGAAAGCCAAAUGAGACCAGAAGCAACCCUUACGUUUUCCUGUACAGUCUCCUUCCCUCCUUCUCACUUGUACUCAGUCCUUCUUUUUCUCUCUUAUCGCCUUCUUGAAUCCCCUGAGUUACUUUGACUACUUUGUUUUUUAAUUGUUACUGCUUAAAAGUCACGAUAUCAAAGGUAAGGUUUUGGAAGAGUAAAGGAAAGUGGACAGAACAGUUAGCAGGGAGUUGAACUUGUGGAGAUUUAAAAUGGUCAAAGGUUGUUUGGACAUAUUUUUUUGUCACAUAAAUGUCUUGUCAGCAAUGUGACAUUUUCUACAGACAUUUAAAAUGACUUUUCUCUGUUUUGCAAUCUAACAUACUGGGCUUAUGCAAUAUAUAGUGCCAUGCUUUGCCUUGAACAACUAUUUUGUGUUAAAUCAAUAAAACUCAAUGUCAUAUAGGUUCUAUUUUUACACUUCACACCAGAGAAUUCACACAGUUCAGGUAAUGCAGUGGUUAACAUGAAGUACGUAGAUAUGAGUCAUAGAAAUGCUCUUAAUGGAGCUGGUCUAAGGAGUAUUAAAGUUUAUAUAGCAGAGUGUGCUUACAGAUUUUUGAACUCUAUGCAAGUUAUAUGUGGACUAAAACAAAAAGCUAUCUUUUAGCUUUAAUGGGACAUCACAAUCUCUACUGAUCUUUGGGGAACUGAUUGUAAAUACUCAACAAAUGCUUAAAAAUGCAUCCGAGGUAUUGAAAUGGUGUCUUUGUGCAAAUGUCUCCUUGUGAUAAGCUCUGCAUUACUCAUAAAUCACAACCGAGAAGCUUUUAUUUUGAUUUUAGCACUUUGUCUCGUGUCAACUAACAAGUCUUCCGGUGUAAGUAAACUGUGUCAGGCGUAUGUGCAAUUAAUGUGACGCUUUAGUUUGUCGUUAUGUAGUGUGCAUGUGAAACUUGAGCUAUUCUGAAGACAAUAAAUGCAAAUAAAUAUACCACAUGUCUGUUUUGUUUCAGAGUUUUCAUUUUUAAUGUAAGCUAUAAAAGCAUGGGGAGUGUUAUCAAGAAUAAUUGGGUGUUCCAGCAAUUUUUAAAAAAAAAAGAUGACCAGGCAAGUUUGGCCAAAAAAAAUAAAAGAUGCCUCUAUUGCGUGAGCAGUGUCAUUGCAACCAUUUUUAUGCAUAUAUGAGUGCAGGAAAGGUGUGGCGUAUCACUCUACACCCAUUCCGGGUGUUGAGUCAAAUACUGUAAGUCUGACUCAUGUUCAUAAAGAUGUCUGACAAAUCAUAGGAAAAACCUGAUCCCUUGACCCCUUUGGUGAGAGGAUCUGGUGGUUGCAUGGCAACAUUUUUUGGGUCCACGUGUUCUCAUAUAGGGCAGAGUCAGUGCAAAUCAUUAUAAGAUUAUGGGGAGCCAUCUUAACCCUUUAUUAUGAUGAAAUGCUUCUGUUGGGAGUGGCCUCUUCCAAGAUGGCACCUCGAGCCACAAGUAUGUACAAGAAUUCAAAUCGCAUUCUGUGGCCUUCACAGUCAGCAGAUCAGUUUCCAUUUGAAAGAGUGGUCUAACAUGCUAGACAGCUGGCUAACGUGCUGCCAUGGUCAACAAAACAAGUUAGGGAGUGUUAUUUUUUGGAAAAGGUUUUCCUUUUUUGUUUGUUUUCCUUUAAUUUGUCACCCACUCGUAUAUAUUUGUAAUGCCAGCAAAUAAAUGUCAGUUACCUGGAGAAAAAGCAAAUUAACCAGAGUACAGC